CUGAUUGACGAUGCGAUCACCGGUGAGUGGCGGACGGGUGAGUAACACGUAGGUACCUGCCCCGGAGCGGGGGAUAACAUUUGGAAACAGAUGCUAAUACCGCAAACAACAAAAGCCACAUGGCUUUUGUUUGAAAGAUGGCUUUGGCUAUCACUCUGGGAUGGACCUGCGGUGCAUUAACUAGUUGGUAAGGUAACGGCUUACCAAGGCGAUGAUGCAUAGCCUAGUUGAGAGACUGAUCGGCCACAAUGGAACUGAGACACGGUCCAUACUCCUACGGGAGGCAGCAGUAGGGAAUCUUCCACAAUGGGCGCAACCCUGAUGGAGCAACACCGCGUGAGUGAAGAAGGGUUUCGGCUCGUAAAGCUCUGUUGUUGGAGAAGAACGUGCGUGAGAGUAACUGUUCACGCAGUGACGGUAUCCAACCAGAAAGUCACGGCUAACUACGUGCCAGCAGCCGCGGUAAUACGUAGGUGGCAAGCGUUAUCCGGAUUUAUUGGG
rnacentral:rRNA from 2 species